AUCAGACGCAUUUUCGCAAGUGGGAUAUGAUUCUCUUCAAAUGAAAGUUUGUUGCAGGAUCCAGAGCUUCCGUGUUUACGUGGAAGGAACUAUCAGCCAAAAAUGUUGAUGGAUUGAUGCAGCUCCAGCGGGAUAACCUGCGUCUUAAUUAAACUGCAACUCCAUGUUGUUAAAGGAAAAACAGCAGUUGUAACUAACACAAAAAAAUAGUAUUUUCUCUA